GAUGCCUUGGCUCUAAGAGGCGAUGAAGGACGUGACAAGCUGCGAUAAGCUGUGGGUAUUGGCACAUACGACUUGAUCCACAGAUUUCCGAAUGGGGCAACCCAAUAGGUUUAAUAGCCUAUUACCUACGAAUGUAGGAGCAAACGAGGGGAACUGAAACAUCUAAGUACCCUUAGGAGAAGAGAACAAAAGUGAUUCCCUUAGUAGUGGCGAUCGAACGGGGACGAGCCCAAACCAUCCUUGUUUCGGCAAG
rnacentral:rRNA from 1 species